rnacentral:lncRNA from 1 species
UUCUUCGAAUUAAGCUCUAAUCUUCUAUUUUAUUGUUUCUUUUCAGAUUUUAGUUUGAAGCACUAAAUAAAUGGCGGCUUCUUGAGGAAAAGAUUCAAACGUGAAUGGCACAAAGAAGUUAAUUUAUAUAAUAAAAUAUACAACUUUUCAAUUGACGGAAUGAUUCUUAUUGCACAUUGUUCUCUACUGCAUUCACGUGGACAAGGCUACAAUAACUUUGAUUCUUCAUAUAUAGAGUUUGUUCUUUUCGCAAUUUACUGUUGUAUUGCGGAUGUCCUCGUUUUAUUCAUUUCUUAUUAGUUAUUGCAAGUUGUUUUUUUGCAUUACCUUGGUGUACUUUGUGCACAAACCAAUAAGAAGAUCAAUUUCGUUAUAUUCAAUGUUUUUUCUUUUUGCUUUUUCCACUCGGUAAACAAAAAAAUAAGUCUUAUCCUUAUAUAAAAAACUAAAAAAGAGAAUACCAAUAAUUAUUUUAAGAUCUUUAAUAGUUUUAAGGUAAAAGAAGUUCAAGACAUAUAUACGUAAUACACGUACCUCUUUUUGCGCGCAUCACAUACGCUAGAUUUUUCUUCUUGAAAAAUAAGAUUUUAAAAUGUCAAAAAUAUUUACAAGGUAGUGACUACAAAUAUUUUUGUGACUAUGGAGUAAAAUAUUGAAAAUGACAUAUGUUAGCAGCUCAAUAAUUUUAGUGUGAAUUACUAUAUUAAUUCUUUUUUCACAUAAAUUAGGUGUUGUUGUUAAGGUGACUUGCAAGGCUGGUGACAAGACAAUUGUGAGUUAUGGUACCACAAAGAUCAACGGCAAAUUCAGCAGUACUGUUAAAGGAUUUGAAUAUGUCAAAUAUGGAGCAAAGGCUUGCAAGGCUAAACUACACACUGCUCCAAAUGAUUCUAAUUAUGACAUCCCUACAAACCUUCAUUGGGGAGUAAAGGGUGCUAACCUAAAAGUGAAGUCAAAGAAUCAUUAUGAAGUUGUACUUUAUGCAGAACCAUUUGCGUAUGGCUCUAAGACACCUUAUGCAAAAUGCACAAAACCUCUACCUACGCCUGCUCCAUAUUACUACGAAUCUCCUCCACCUCCAUCGCUGACUUAUAUUUACAAGUCAUCACCUCCUCCAUCACUAACAUAUGUUUACAAGUCACCACCUCCCCCAACUCUAAACAUAUGUGUACAAAUCUCCACCGCCACCAACUAAGUCUUCACCAUCUCCUUAUUACUACAAGUCUCCACCUCUACCUUCACCAAAACCUGCUCCAGUAUAAUAUUAUAGCUCACCACAAUCUCCAUCACCAUCGCCUCCACCUCUUUACUAUUAUAAAUCUCCUUCACCGCCUUCAUAUUCUCCUCCUCCUCCAUAUUACUACAAGUCGCCACCAUCACCUCCACCACCAUACUACUAUAAGUCACCACCCCUGCUAUCCCCAUCACAACCCCACCCCUAUUAUUACAAGUCUCCACCUCCACCAUCACCAAAACCUGCACCUGUUUACUAUCAUAAUCACCACCACCCCCGUUAACAUCGCCUCCACCUCCUUACUAUUACAAAUCUCCUCCACCACCAUCGCCUUCUCCUCCUCCUCCAUACUACUACAAGUUGCCGCCACCCCCGUCACCAUCACAUCCACUACCAUACUACUAUAAGUCACUACCCCCGAUAUCCAUAUCACCACCCCCGCCCUAUUAUUACAUGUCUCCACCUCCACCAUCACCAAAACCUGCACUGGUAUACUAUCAUAAAUCACCACCACCCCCGUCACCAUCGCAUCCACCUCCUUACUAUUACAAAUCACCUCCACCACCAUCACCUUCUCCUCCUCCUCCAUAUUACUACAAGUCGCCACCACCCCUAUCAACAUCACCUCCACCACUAUACUACUAUAAGUCACCACCACUACCAUCCCCAUUACCACCCCCGCCCUUUUAUUACAAGUCUCCUCUUCCACCAUCUCCAUCACCACCCCCGCCCUAUUACUAUAAGUCUCCUCCUCCACCGGCUCUGUCACUACCCCCACCCUAUUACUACAAAUCUCCUCCACCGCCAUCACUAUAAAUCUCCUCCACCGCCAUCACUAUCUCCUCCACCACCCUAUUACUAUAUAUCACCACCACCUCCAUCACCAUCACCUCCACCUCCAUAUUACUACAAGUCUCCACCACCGCCAUCUCCAUCACCGCCACCACCCUAUUACAACAGGUCUCCGCCUCCACCGUUGCCUUCUCCUCCACCUCUAUACUAUUACCACUCUUCACCUCCACCAGUGAAGUCUCCUCCUCCUCCCUAUUACUAUAGCUCACCUCCUCCACCAGUAUAUAUUUAUGCUUCCCUGCCACCUCCGAUCCACUACUAAGUAUUUCUAAGAGCUCAGCCAUUCUCCAUAAUCAAUCAAGUGAGUAGCCGUUUGAAGUGUGUAUUUUUUUUUCCGUAUGAAAUCAACUUUUGAUUUUUCUUUUCUUUGAAUUAGGUUCUAAUCUUCUAUUUUAUUGUUUCUUUUCAGAUUUUAGUUUGAAGCACUAAAUAAAUGCCUGCUUCUUGAGGAAAAGACUCGAACGUAUAUGGCACAAAGCAAUUAAUUUAUGUAAUAAAAUAUACAACUUUUCAAUUGAAGGAAUGAUUCUUAUUGCACAUUGUUCUCUACUGCAUGUGGACAAGGCUACAAUAACUUUGAUUCUUCAUAUAUAGAGUUUGUUUUUUUCGCAAUUACUGUUGCAUUGCGGAUGUCUUCGUUUUAGUGCAUUCACGUGGACAAGGCUACAAUAACUUUGAUUCUUCAUAUAUAGAGUUUUUUUUUCUUGAUUUAUUGUUGCAUUGAGGAUGUCCUCGUUUUAUUCAUUUCUUAUUAGUUAUUGCAAAUUGCUUUCUUGUAAUACCUUGGUGUACUUUGUGCACAAA